rnacentral:lncRNA from 1 species
GUUCACAAUUUGUUCACGGUGACUCAGUUUAUCCUUAUAGGGCUCUCUUACUUCUCCAAUGAGCACUACCUUCUUUUUGUGGCCCUUGCCAUUAUCUGUCAGGUGUUCUUGGUGCGAAGUGGAGACAUUCUCUUGGCCAUUGGGACUGUGAUUAAGUUGCACACUACUCAUGUAUUAUUUUUUGGCAAAUGUGUCCAUCUUAGACAUAUUGUGUUCAUCAGCUACUAUACCUAAGAUGCCUAAGAUUCUCUAGACUGAGGAUCACAGCAUUUCUUUUGUUAGGUGAGCUUUGCAGCCCUAUUUCCUAGUGGCCUGGGCUGGGAAGAAAGCUUUCUCACUGUUACGGCUUAUGACUGGUGUGUGGUCACAUGUUUCUCCCUUUGUUACAUCCUGAUCAUGAACAAAUUGGCUCUGUCCAGCUGGUUUAUGGGACCUGAGCAGCUGGGUUUCUAAAUUUCCUCCUCCUCCACGUAGUGUCUACCCUCUGCCUGUCUUUCUGCAAGCCUGAUCGAGUUAACCAGUAUUACUGUGAUAUCUCACCGAUGGGGGCCCUGUUGUGCCAGUCCAUGCACCUGGCAAACAUGCUUGUUUUAGUGGAAUCAGUUAUCUUGGGGAUCAGUGCUUUUCUGGCUGCCUUUAACUUUUACAUAUACAUCAUCUCCACUAUCCUAAAGAUCCAGUGUGUAGAGUGGAGUGCAAAGUGCUUCUCUACAUGCACUUCCCACCUCCUUACGGUCUGUUUGUUCUAUGGCAUAUUGACAUUUACCUACAUUUACUCCUUCUCCAGUCAACACUCACAUGUCUAAGGCAAGCCCAGAUCUAGCCACAGACAGGCUCAUCUCUAUGCUAUACAGAGUUAUUACCCUGAUGUUUAACUUCAUCACUGACAACCUGAGAAACACAGAGGUAAAAGGAGCCUCAGAAAGGUUUUAUGUCAUUGAACAUGUUUAUAGAA